rnacentral:lncRNA from 1 species
AGCAGUACUGUCAGAGUGACACCAUGUAGUAGUACUGUCAGAGUGACACCAUGCAGCAGUACUUUCAGAGUGACACCAUGCAGCAGUACUGUCAGAGUGACACCAUGCAGCAGUACUGUCAGAGUGACACCAUGCAGUAGUACUGUCAGAGUGACACCAUGCAGCAGUACUGUCAGAGUGACACCAUGCAGUAGUACUGUCAGAGUGACACCAUGUAGUAGUAUUGUCAGAGUGACACCAUGCAGCAGUACUGUCAGAGUGACACCAUGCAGCAGUACUGUCAGAGUGACACCAUGCAGUAGUACUGUCAGAGUGACACCAUGCAGUAGUACUGUCAGAGUGACACCAUGCAGUAGUACUGUCAGAGUGACACCAUGCAGUAGUACUGUCAGAGUGACACCAUGCAGCAGUACUAUCUUAGUGACACCAUGCAGCAGUACUGUCAGAGUGACACCAUGCAGUAGUUCUGUCAGAGUGACACCAUGCAGCAGUACUAUCUUAGUGACACCAUGCAGCAGUACUGUCAGAGUGACACCAUGCAGUAGUACUGUCAGAGUGACACCAUGCAGCAGUACUGUCAGUGUGACACCAUGCAGCAGUACUGUCAGAGUGACACCAUGCAGUCGUACUGUCAGAGUGACACCAUGCAGCAGUACUAUCUUAGUGACACCAUGCAGCAGUACUGUCAGAGUGACACCAUGCAGUAGUACUGUCAGAGUGACACCAUGCAGCAGUACUAUCUUAGUGACACCAUGCAGCAGUACUGUCAGAGUGACACCAUGCAGUAGUACUGUCAGAGUGACACCAUGCAGCAGUACUGUCAGUGUGACACCAUGCAGCAGUACUGUCAGAGUGACACCAUGCAGUCGUACUGUCAGAGUAACACCAUGCAGCAGUACUGUCAGAGUGACACCGUGCAGCAGUACUGUCAGAGUGACACCAUGCAGCAGUACUGUCAGAGUGACACCGUGCAGCAGUACUGUCAGAGUGACACCAUGCAGCAGUACUGUCAGAGUGACACCAUGCAGCAGUACUGUCAGAGUGACACCAUGCAGUAGUACUGUCAGAGUGACACCAUGCAGUAGUACUGUCAGAGUGACACCAUGCAGCAGUACUGUCAGAGUGACACCAUGCAGCAGUACUGUCAGAGUGACACCAUGCAGUAGUACUGUCAGAGUGACACCAUGCAGCAGUACUGUCAGAGUGACACCAUGCAGCAGUACUGUCAGAGUGACACCAUGCAGUAGUACUGUCAGAGUGACACCAUGCAGAAGUACUGUCAGAGUGACACCAUGCAGCAGUACUGUCAGAGUGACACCAUGCAGUAGUACUGUCAGAGUGACACCAUGUAGUAGUACUGUCAGAGUGACACCAUGCAGCAGUACUGUCAGAGUGACACCAUGCAGUAGUACUGUCAGAGUGACACCAUGCAGCAGUACUGUCAGAGUGACACCAUGCAGUAGUACUGUCAGAGUGACACCAUGCAGUAGUACUGUCAGAGUGACACCAUGCAGUAGUACUGUCAGAUUGACACCAUGCAGUAGUACUGUCAGAGUGACACCAUGCAGCAGUACUGUCAGAGUGACACCAUGCAGCAGUACUAUCUUAGUGACACCAUGUAGUAGUACUGUCAGAGUGACACCAUGUAGUAGUACUGUCAGAGUGACACCAUGCAGCAGUACUGUCAGAGUGACACCAUGCAGCAGUACUGUCAGAGUGACACCAUGCAGUAGUACUGUCAGAGUGACCAUGCAGUAG